rnacentral:lncRNA from 12 species
UCACAUGGUACAGUUAGCCGCAGUAGCAGCUUGUUAGUUGAAAGCAAAUGUCCUCCCAAGAGAAGAAGCUGUGUGAGUUGGCACAUGGACAGACACGUAGCUAAAUCCAGAAACGCAGCCUCCAUUCCACUUGCCUCAGUGGACGUUGAAGCCUCUUCCAGGCCUGGAGGAGUGUCAACAGUCCUACCCUGCAAGCAUAUGAGAUCUGAUCUUCUCCACGAAACCAAAGUGGGGAAGAAUGGAGAUGAAGUGCAGCUGAGAGUGUUUGCUGUCCUGACAGCUGUAAAGAUGUUGGGCCAUGACCUUGGAUCCGUACAUGAUACCUGCCCUGCUUCUCAGCCAUGCUUGCACCAGCUUUAAAUUCUGCAUUCUGGGUUGAAAACUUUCUGUGUCUCUUGUUUUAAAUAGUGUCACUUGCCUGAGAACAGCAGAGACAAAGGGUUGCCCGAGGUGUGCGGACCUGGUUGAGCAUACCCACAUUGCCUGAGAACAGCAGAGACAAAGGGUUGCCUGAGGUGUGCAGACCUGGUUGAGCAUACCCACGCAUGACACAGCACUGCCCUCUCCAGUUGCUCACAGCCUGACAAAUUUGCCAAGCAAAGCUGUUGGAACUCCUGCUUCAGCUGCUGGGCACAACUGUCUGGCAGGACCAGAACCCUCAUGUUGGAUGGAGCCUCACCAAGGGGCAGGAGAGAAGUUCUGGCCCUGCACUGCUGGGUUCACACUCACAGAGUUUCACUAACAGGCACAUUUCCCUCCUGAUCCCUGAAAACCGUGGGUUGCUUUAAUGCAAG